rnacentral:rRNA from 1 species
AUGUAUUCACUUAACGUUGAUGAUGGUGAUGGCAGCUUGCAGUUGUCUGUUACUCAGUCUCAAAGUGUUGAUGGUACUGAGCCUGUUACCCAAGCUGAGGAUGUUCCUAUGCACAAAGCUGAUGCGGAUAGUUUUGCUGUGAAAAUUGGUCCAAGAAAACUUGGUGGUUCCUCUAUUCGUCGGAGUCCACGAGGUUUGAAAAAUAACAAGCCUUCUUCGUCUCCUCUUCAAGAGCGGUCUUUGUUGAAAGAAAAUAAGAAGCGUAAAGUUCAUCCUGCAAAAGUGAACAAAGGUGUGAAGAAGCGUGCUCGUGUUGAAGUUGAAGAUUCUGCAUCUGAAGAAGAUGAUAUUGAAGUUGAUUCAGAAGAUGAAUUUGCAGUGCCUGUUAGCGUCAUGAGUCCGGUCAAGCCGGUGGGAGUGACCAACGGAAUUUUGUACCUGAGGAUAGAUUGUGAUACAAUGACUCUUGACAUGGGUGAGGCUAAUAAGAAGCUUCGCAUCACUAGCGAUGAUAUACAACAAUUAUUUGGUUUCCCUCAUGGUGGUCGUUCUGCGCCAAGGCCGUCAGAGGACGGAUAUGAUGACACUCUGAUGAAGUUAAGAUCGGAGCUUGACAUUAGCAGGGACAAAGAUAUCAAGACAAAGGAUUGA